AGGAUGAUAACUCAGCGGGAGAGUGCUACCUUGACAGGGUAGAAGUCGCGGGUUCGAUCCCCGCUCGUCCUA
rnacentral:tRNA from 1 species